CCUACGGGAGGCAGCAGUGGGGAAUUUUGGACAAUGGGCGCAAGCCUGAUCCAGCAAUGCCGCGUGCAGGAUGAAGGCCUUCGGGUUGUAAACUGCUUUUGUACGGAGCGAAACGGUCUGCUUUAAUACAGUAGGCUAAUGACGGUACCGUAAGAAUAAGCACCGGCUAACUACGUGCCAGCAGCCGCGGUAAUACGUAGGGUGCGAGCGUUAAUCGGAAUUACUGGGCGUAAAGCGUGCGCAGGCGGUUAUAUAAGACAGAUGUGAAAUCCCCGGGCUCAACCUGGGACCUGCAUUUGUGACUGUAUAGCUAGAGUACGGUAGAGGGGGAUGGAAUUCCGCGUGUAGCAGUGAAAUGCGUAGAUAUGCGGAGGAACACCGAUGGCGAAGGCAAUCCCCUGGACCUGUACUGACGCUCAUGCACGAAAGCGUGGGGAGCAAACAGGAUUAGAUACCCUGGUAGUCCACGCCCUAAACGAUGUCAACUGGUUGUUGGGUCUUCACUGACUCAGUAACGAAGCUAACGCGUGAAGUUGACCGCCUGGGGAGUACGGCCGCGAAGGUUGAACGUCAAAUGAAUUGACGG
rnacentral:rRNA from 1 species